CCUACGGGCGGCAGCAGUGAGGAAUGUUGGUCAAUGGACGAGAGUCUGAACCAGCCAAGUAGCGUGAAGGAUGACUGCCCUCUGGGUUGUAAACUUCUUUUAUAUGGGAAUAAAAUGUUCCACGUGUGGGAUUUUGUCUGUACCAUAUGAAUAAGGAUCGGCUAACUCCGUGCCAGCAGCCGCGGUAAUACGGAGGAUCCGAGCGUUAUCCGGAUUUAUUGGGUUUAAAGGGAGCGUAGGUGGGUUGUUAAGUCAGUUGUGAAAGUUUGCGGCUCAACCGUAAAAUUGCAGUUGAAACUGGCAGUCUUGAGUACAGUAGAGGUGGGCGGAAUUCGUGGUGUAGCGGUGAAAUGCUUAGAUAUCACGAAGAACUCCGAUUGCGAAGGCAGUUCACUGGACUGCAACUGACACUGAGGCUCGAAAGUGUGGGUAUCAAACAGGAUUAGAUACCCUUGUAGUC
rnacentral:rRNA from 1 species